CCUACGGGAGGCAGCAGUGAGGAAUAUUGGUCAAUGGACGAGAGUCUGAACCAGCCAAGCAGCGUGAAGGAUGACUGCCCUAUGGGUUGUAAACUUCUUUUAUAUGGGAGUAAAAUGUUCCACGUGUGGGAUUUUGAAUGUACCAUAUGAAUAAGGAUCGGCUAACUCCGUGCCAGCAGCCGCGGUAAUACGGAGGAUCCGAGCGUUAUCCGGAUUUAUUGGGUUUAAAGGGAGCGUAGGGGGAUUGUUAAGUCAGAUGUGAAAGUUUGGGGCUCAACGGUAGAAUUGCAGUUGAAACUGGCAGUCUUGAGUACAGUAGAGGUGGGCGGAAUGCGUGGUGUAGCGGUGAAAUGCUUAGAUAUCACGAAGAACUCCGAUUGCGAAGGCAGUUCACUGGACUGCAACUGACACUGAGGCUCGAAAGUGUGGGUAUCAAACAGGAUUAGAUACCCCUGUAGUC
rnacentral:rRNA from 1 species